GUCCAAAGGAGGCCAAAUUAACAUGCGUACCCAGUCCCUGCUCACCGCCCCAGGACACCAACCUGCUCAGUGUCUUUUAUACUCACAACUUCUCCCAAAGUCCCUGAGGACGUCUCACCCCCGUCUGCAAAUUGUUUGGCCUUCCUGGACAUUUGACUCUUGGUGGUCUGCUUGGGAGCAGAAGGAGAAUGGCUCCCUGCCCCCAGUGUAACAAUUACAGGGCCCUAGAACAGGGUCGCUUGGCAUCUGGGGGCUGGGAGGCGGGUGAGACACCCCAGCUGUCUGCUCGCCUCCAGGGUGGCUGGGUGUAGUAGAGACCACCGCACUAGACCCGCAACCUCUGCUUCCUCCUGACUCGGAACUGUGCUGCUGAGUCUGCCAGGCUCCUUGCUCCUGACGUUGGACCGUAUCCUAGGAGCUCCACAUUUGGCUUUCGUCACUAAUCUCCCCACCUCCCUCCUCUCCUGUCCCAAGUCUGCAGGCAGCCUCAGCUGUGGACACCGUGGGACACUUUCUCUGGAGCUCCAGAAACCAGGACUUGGAGCUAAUAACAGGAUAAAGAGCAUUGUGAUUAUGGUCACCUAACAGGAACCUUUGACAACUCCAGAGAGUAUGCUCUGCACCACAUUUCGGGAAAUGCAGCGCGGGGGUGGAUGCACGGAAAAUCUGAGGCUGCCCUGCUUCCCCAUCAGGGCCUUCUCCUUCCCUGGGACAACCAGAACUCUGAUUAGUCUCCGGGAGACGAGCGUUCCUGUUCCUGGAAAUACUCCUACCACCCGCUGGGCAAACUUCCCCAUUGACAUGAUGGGAAGAUGCAGGACCAGAGAGCCUACUGUGAUGUGAAUCUGUUCCACGGCACCCAGCACUAGAUACAGAAAGGGGAAGAAAAACAAGUUUUUAUGUGCAAAGCCAGAAGCUAAUCUGUGGAAACUUCUUCCAGUCAAUGCAUAUAAAAUUAUACUUGGAGGAUUUGGUUCUCAUCAAUUCUUAGAAAAAAGAAAUUCUGUUAGGAACAUACUCUGUAUGCAGUAUAUACAAUUACAAACACUCCAAGCAUUUUCUUCUUUUUCAAAGAGAUUAUGCAAAAUCAAAUUGAUCAAAAUUCUUCUAUUUAUAGAGCACAAGUCCUGUGGAAGAACUACAGGGAACAUGUUCAUUGAAGUUGCAUAUUUUAUGAAUUUUAAAAAUUAAUAACGCAAAAAUUUUUUGAUCAACCAAGUUAGAGGAAGAACUGAAUUAUUUUAUUCUCUCUACAGAAAAUGUUACAAAAUAGUUGUCACAUGAAGAGACCAUCAAAGAGUUAGAGGCCAAAGAAUGUAGGAAUAUAUCUUAUCGAGUUAUAUCAGCCACUAACUAACAAAAAUAUUGCAUUAUUUUCUGAAUUUUUGUGGCAUUUAUUAAUUUUUUAAAAUUUGAAAUGUUAUAUGUUCUUUCUUCACUCUGUAUAAACAUUCACUUUUGUACCUAAUUUUGUAUUUGUAAUUUUAAAUAUUUUUUCUCCAAGAAGGCCCUCAAAACGCAAGUCUCAAUCUCACAAAAGUUGGCUCCAACCUAAGAUAGGGGAAGCUAUUGGUUCUUCUUCUUUAUGACCUUGCCACUAGAUUACAGCAAGGGUGAGUGUCACGUAAGUCCUGCUUCGUAUAACAAACAUGUAUCAUCCAGCAGGCAGAGGAAACCAUCACAAAACCUCUUCUGUAAUCUCAGCGAAGAUCCGGUUCUGUGUCCUUUUAGGAGCUACGACAGAACAUUUCACAGAAAACUUCUAGGAAGCAAAGAAUAAUAUUCUAAAGGCCAAAUUCUGCUGACCAUCUGGUUGGAGUCAGGCAAACAAGAAUCCUGUCACCCAGGAUUGUUUAGAAAUUGAGCCCAGGUAAAAGGAGGCCUCUGAUGAUUACUGGAGGUGACCAUAGCUGAAGAACUCAGAGUUCCUGCCUCUGGAGCAUGGCUUUUGUGAUGACCCAAUCACCCAAGACCCCAACCUGGUGCUUCCAAGGGCUUUUGAACUGAGAAGCAAGCCCUGCCCUGUCCAAUGGCAAAGCUGGGAACCUGUGAGCCUGGAGCUGCUGGUGUCCACGCUUCCGGCCUUGAGAGGAGAACCACCUGAAGAGCAUAAAGCCACUCUGCAAGCAGGAAGGAGGCAUGAGGAGUGUCGCGAGAGUGUCCAGGCCAGGUCUAGUCAUCACUGGUGCCAACCUUAUUCCUGCCCCUCUUCAUUGGGCUACAUGAGUCCACAAAUUCUAUCUCUCAAGCUUCUUGGAGUUCACUUUCUGUCAUUUUUUCAAAACCAAAAAAUAUCCUAAACAAAGCACCAGCUAAGGCAGCAAAAUUACAGAGCUUGAUAAAAUAAAAGAAAUGGAAUCAACAAGAAGAAAGGUGGAAAAGUCUGGUAAUUCUCAGGAACAAAAUAACCAGGGAGAAUAAAAUUUGCAGUCUUGGAAGUCUACACCUCAGGGUACAGUGUACAGAAACUGAAAAAAGUGACCUUAAGAUUUUAGCUCAGGGAGACAAAUGUUACUGUGCUGGUUUCAUGAGCCUUGGAGGAUGGGCUGGGAUGGCAGCGAUGGAAGAGUUCCUUUUUAAAAGACAGAGCUGGUAGGAAGGGGAGGAAAGGGUGACCACAUGUUAAGAAGAGAGCACCUGCGUGGAAAUCCAGAAGCCAUGAGGGCAGAGAGGGAAAUGGAGAGGGAGAGAAAGGGAAAUGAGACUGUGGCACUAGCUGUGGGUUGUGCAACCAGAUAUAAGUAAUUGAUGAUGUGCCCCCAAGAAGUGCCGCAACCCACCUGCUAGGCUGGGGCAGAGGGGCAGGGCUAGCUCCCUGGGAGCAAGGAUCAGAGGCUUCAAAGCACAGCAAGGCAGGCCAGGAAGCAGCCAGGCACGGGCACACUGGGAGCACAAAUCACACUGGUUGCAAAACGGAUCAACUCAAGAGCAGACAAAUAUGGGCUCAAGGUCAAUCUAAGGGCAGAAGCCAGGUGACACAAGUGAGUCAAAUCUAGAAAGAAAGUCGUAAGAGUGAGACACAGGGAGACACAGGGGGGACCCCAGGAGCAGACGCUAGAAACUGGAAGUAGAUUAGCUGGGGUGUAUGUAGACGAGGCAAGCGGCCGAGAGUCUGCAGACACAAAGGCUCACAUGGCAUUCCACCAGAUAGCCAUCUGCUGCCGAGCCAUCACUUUUAUGCCUGCUGUCCACAUGCAGGUGGCUCUGCCCUCAGGGCUUGGAGGCGUGAGCAGGCCCCCAUGGCACAUUUGACAAUGCUGGCACGGCAGCAAGACGGAGUGGGGGUAGUUGGGCAACUCAUUCUACUGAACCCAGGGUGUCUGAUCAAUUCUCCUCGUGGUGCUGACAGUUUCAUCUCUCAUAAUUUAAAGACAGAAAUGAGAAAAACUCCUCCCCUGAACCUAAUUCCAGACAUCCUGCCUUGCAGAAGUGGAAGUGACAGAGACCCUGAGAGGAGCUGGCCUUUACAAAGCCACUGACAUCCAGGACCCAAGCAGAUGAGGGCCCUGAACCUGUUGGGAAAGCAGGUUUUAGAAACGUCCCGAGAAGGGUUAGAAAUGUCCAGAAUAGGUCUCCAUGAGCAGAGACUCUCAAUGAGCAACAGCUCCAUAGGAAAGGGAGGCUAAUUGGGGCUAAAUGGGACUAAUUAUAUUUUGUUAACAGAUGAUAGCCAGAAAGCAGAAGUCCUCAAAUUGCACUUUACUUCCAAAUUCUCAGUCAAGAAGACUGAUGUUCAGGCUGGAAAAGCAGAAUUAGUGCUGGUUAGAGGGAAUGAAGCCGUGUAGAACUGCUAUGAGCAGCCUUCACAUACCCCUCACAAAUGUAGAGUCCCCACGCAGCAGGAUUUAGCCCCCUCGCUGCAUGCCUCCGAUACUUCUGAGAUGCCCAGGGUGCCAGGCUGCGAACGUCUGUCUACCGCCCACAUCUUCCCUUGCUGCUAAUGAUAAUCAAGAGACUAACCCUCUUGCAGGCCACAGCCAUCCAGUUCCACCGCUGGUACCACCAGGCAAGGCUCGGGGAGAGGGGUGCCAGCUGCCCUCCGCCUUUGCAUCUGAAGCACGGGAUGCAGCAUUCCCUAAGUCCCUCGGCACACAACUGGGACCCAUCAACCCUGCCUCCGGGACACAAGCUGCACCAGGGCAGGGAGUUCUGUCUGGUUUUUUUGUCACUAUGUAUCCCCAGGGUCCGGGUCCCUGGCAGAUAGCAGGAGCUCAUCAAUCUGCAACUGUCAACAAGUCUUUACUAAACAUUCCAAAAUAAAAGAGGAACAAGGCGGAGAAUAAGUAACAACAGUACAAAGAUGUUGCUAAUUUCGGGGUUCUCAGGCCCAGAUUUCCAAUGUCUUUGUACAAAUUACAAAAACGUAAUUGAGCAGGCCCAUGGUGUUCGUUGCAUGUAGAAGAUGCCUGUAUGGGAAGUGACUUGCCUUCAUGCUGCAUUGGAACAAGAAAGAUCUAAAGUGAAAGUAUUAUAAGCAGAAUUAGCCAAAUAUCAGGGUGGCAGAAAAGGGAAAAGAAAGUCUGAAGCCGACAGUGUAGGUGAUUCCAUUAGCCUGUGAGGUCAACACAAAAAUCAGGAGUGUCAGGGUUCGGCAAAAAUGUGGAUAUUUAAUGCUGUGCAACUGCUAAACUACGCGUUUUUUGUUGAAGAAACUAAAAUGAUUAGCUCACCAACAGUCUAUAAUUAUAUGUCCUUUUGGCUUAAAGUGAAAAGAAGAAAAAUAGAUUUCCAGCAGAACUCAAUGAUUAUUGUUUACGAUCCAUACUUCUCAUCACUUUAGUUUUUCAUCAGUCAAUAAAAUUAAUUUAAUCUUCCCAAAAAAAAGAAAGUUCAUUGGCUGACAAAAUAGAAAAAGUGA